rnacentral:tRNA from 1 species
GGCUUUAUAGUCAAUAAAUGAUAUUAGACUGCAAUUCUAAAGUAGUAUCUUACUAAAGCUU